rnacentral:rRNA from 1 species
UGGGGAAUAUUGGACAAUGGGCGCAAGCCUGAUCCAGCCAUGCCGCGUGAGUGACGAAGGUCUUCGGAUUGUAAAGCACUUUAAGUUGGGAGGAAGGGCCAUUACCUAAUACGUGAUGGUUUUGACGUUACCGACAGAAUAAGCACCGGCUAACUCUGUGCCAGCAGCCGCGGUAAUACAGAGGGUGCAAGCGUUAAUCGGAAUUACUGGGCGUAAAGCGCGCGUAGGUGGUUUGUUAAGUUGGAUGUGAAAUCCCCGGGCUCAACCUGGGAACUGCAUUCAAAACUGACUGACUAGAGUAUGGUAGAGGGUGGUGGAAUUUCCUGUGUAGCGGUGAAAUGCGUAGAUAUAGGAAGGAACACCAGUGGCGAAGGCGACCACCUGGACUGAUACUGACGCUGAGUGCGAAAGCGUGGGGAGCAAACGGGAUUAGAUACCCACGUAGUCCCUGAGCGGGCUGGCAAGGCGCAU